AUGAAUAUUGACUGUGUACUUGUUUGAUUUUAAGUAGCCUUAGUAAGUCAUUUGCUCAGCUUCUUUAGAAAGGAAUUUUCAAGUUAAGUGCCCAAUCAAGAAACACUUAACGGACAAUGGAUCUUUGAAGACUCCAAUCCACCUAAGAAGUCUACCUGAGGACGUUCAAGGUAGCAUGUGAAAAAUGGCUGUGACCUGUAAAAUUCUAAGUCAUGCAUGGACAUGUGACUUGCCCAUGUGACUCCAAAACUCCAUCUUGUAGCUGGGAUUCUACACAGGGGGAGGGAGGGUGACCACCCACAAGAGAAAGUCUAUUUAAGCCCCUCCAUUUUGUCUUCAGCUGGCUCAAGAGAUAGCCUCUCCACCCGCAAAGGAUACCUGAAAGAAACUGGAACAAAGGACAGUAACCACAGAGGUGUGAGUGAUUGCUGGACCCAGACUAGAAGGAGACUAGUCUGUAAAAGAUGCUUACUGGAACAUCUCUGAGGUGUCUCACCGGAAGUGGUGAAUUCAGGCAACUCAACUGAAGAUGUAUCCUGGGGACUGGUAUGACCUGGCAACAGCUGAGCUACAUGUCGCUUCCAGAUCCCCAAAUGCACUCCACGUCAACUCUGGAACUCCAGUUCGCGAGAGGCGGAAGCGGAGUCGACGGGGGAGCGGCAGCGGUCCACUCACCACCGUCCUCACGGCCAGGAAUUGUGUUGCCAGAUCAGACCAGUGGACCACCAAUACUCUGGACCACCAAUACGCUGCUGAAAGCCAUCUUAACCCCUCCACCACUCCCAGUGCUGCACAGAGCCCGCCUCAGCCUGAUCAAAGAACCUGGCUCACUUUGUUCUAGUUUAAAUAGCUGCACAGAAUGGAAAGCUGUGGAGACCAAAGACCCAUAGUGCAAGGCAAUGACAAACCAGGCACUAUAUCUGUGAGUACUGUAUAUCUGUAUAUACUGUAUACCUAAGUACUGUAUAUCUUUAUCACAGCAUGAACCCCUCUCCUGAGGUAUGUGCUAACCUCAGAUUAGCCAAGAGUGCAUUGGAAUGCACAGCAAUGCAAUGGGCUGAGUCAUGCUUGCUUCUUCUGUGCAAGAAGAUAACAAAUGUCCUUUGAGAAUGGAGGUAUGUAUGAUGGUAUGUGAGAUGUAUUUUUGAUCUGACAUCAUUAACUGAAACAAACAUAUGGAAUGCAGAGUGGAACAUUAUCAUGAACUCUAUUCACAUGAAACCUCUGUUUUUGAAACAGCGCUAAAUGUGAUCCCCAGGCUCCAGACUACCAAAGAGCUUGAAGUAUGGAAAAAAGGAGUCCAGGUUGUGUUUAAACAUCUGCACAAUGUCUUGCAGAUGACAGGUACCACAAGAAAGGGUACCACAAGACAUAGUAUAAAAACAAAAGAAAAUGGAGUGAUUGUAAUAACUCUCUCCUUAAUAGCGGCAAAGAGUCCUGUGGCACCUUGUAGACUACCAGACGUAUUGGAGCAUAAGCUUUCGUGAGUGAAUACCCACUUCAGAGGCAGGUAUAAAUAUGCAAGCACGAAUCAGGCUAGGGACAAUGAGGUUAGCUCAAUCAGGGAGGAUGCGGCCCUCUUCUAGCAGUUGAGGUGUGAACACCAGGGGAAGAGAAACUGCUUUUGUAGUUGGCUUCCCAUUCAUAAUCUUUGUUUAAUCCUGAGCUGAUGGUGUCAAAUUUGCAAAUGAACUGAAGCUCAGCAGUUUCCCUUUGAAACUGCUCUGAUACUCUGCUUAAUGUUUCUUGCAUUUGCAUAGGUCAGUCUCAAAAGAAUGCAAGUUCUUGCUGAACAUGUAUAUCCGGAGAGACUGUGGCUUCCAUGAGGGUAGAUCAGCUAUCAGCAUGAUUUUUGUACUAAGACAACUUCAAGAAAUGUGUCAAGAAUAAGGAAAACCUCUCUACACCCCCUAGAUCUUACAAAGGUUUUUGACUUGGUCAGCAGAAAGAAGCUUUUUGAAAUGCUAGAGGGACUUGGUUGCCUUUCUAGGCUCCUCAGUUUUAUUUGAUUGAUCACUGUCAUACUGGACUGUAGACUACAUGCCAUAAUGGAACAAUCAGACAGUUUUGACACCACUGUAAAUUAAAGGGAUGCAUUUUUUUUGCACUAAUGCUUUUCAAUAUAAUCUUUUCUCUGCUGCUUCAUCAUGUGUUCUCAUCUAGCACCAAGGGUGUACAUUGUUGUAUAAGAUUAAAUGGAAAACUCUUCAACUUUUCAUUUAAGAGCAAAAAGCAAAGUUGAGCACCUACUGAUAAGAAAGCUUCUUUUUGCAUGACACAGUGUUUGUCUCAGACAGUGAAGAGGAACUCCAGCAGCUUUGCACUAGCUUGUGAUGAAAUUGGACUAACCAUCAGUCAAAAGGAUAAUGAUUAUGGCACAAGGUGUGUUGACUACACCAGAAGUUUUCAUAGCUAGAAGUUAGGUACACAUUCUGCUUAAUACUCUGUGACAAGAUGGCCGAUGUUUGUAUUGUGGGACCUGGGCUUUUCUUGUGGGGGGAUCCCUUGCCCCUACUCUUGGGCACUCAGGGCCCCGCUAGUGGCCCAGUAAGGUGAUAGAGGAGGGAAGCGGGGGAGGGGUCUGGGUUUGCUCCUUGUUCUGAGUCCCAGCCCCUCUCAACCCCUGCAGGUUUCUUACCCUCUUCCCCCUUAGGUGGGGUCACCCUUGGUCCUUAGACGCUGCAGGGAGGGAGUCUCCUGCCCUGCCGGGGCAGGGUCUCCCUUACUUUGGUUCUCUGGUCUUCCAAAUCUCACAACACACCUCCAAGCUCCAAUCCUCUCUCCUUCCUCCUCCUCCUCUGACUGCCUGAAGCAGGGGGGUUUAUUAGGUUCCUGACAGGUCAUUAUUUGACUACAACCCUCCCUAUUCUACAGGGAACCACACCUUAAUAAGCCUAGGGCUUAUAUAUUUCUCCUCUAAUACUCUACCACUGCCCCCUGGCCCUCCUGUAUCACAACUCCCAUGAGAAAGGCAGCCACUACGUUCCGCCACCUGACCAAGUGCAUGUGGGAUACACUGAACACCACAAUAUAGGUCUACCAGGCAUGCAUUUUGAUCAUGCUGCUGUAUGGUGGUGAAACCUGGACUACCUACAGCAGGCAUAAGAGAAGUCUAAACACCUUCCACACCCACUAUCUUUGCCAUAUUCUGAAUAUCAAGUGGGACACUAGAUUUUCUGACACCAAAAUACCUGAGAAAGCAAAAUUACCAAGUUUCUCAAACACAGAUGUCUCUGUUGGCUUAGUCAUCUGCACGGGAUGGAUGAUAGAUGCAUUCCAAAUCAUGUCCUGUAGGGAGACCUUGCAGAUGCUCCAAGGCCACUGGGUCAAUCUUCAGAUUCAAGGACAUUUGCAAUGGCGACUUGAAAAUUUUCAACAUCAAUAUGGCAAGCUGAAGAUAACAAGCUACAGUGAAAAGAAAAUGAGUACUUGUGGCACCUUAGAGACUAAUAAAUUUAUUUGAGCAUAAGCUUUCGUGAGCUACAGCUCACUUCAUCGGAUGCAUUCAGUGGAA